rnacentral:rRNA from 1 species
CCUACGGGUGGCAGCAGUGAGGAAUAUUGGUCAAUGGGCGCAAGCCUGAACCAGCCAUGCCGCGUGAAGGAUGACGGCCCUACGAGUUGUAAACUUCUUUUGUAAAGGAAUAAAGUCAGGCACGUGUGCCUUUUUGUAUGUACUUUACGAAUAAGGAUCGGCUAACUCCGUUCCAGCAGCCGCGGUAAUACGGAGGAUCCGAGCGUUAUCCGGAUUUAUUGGGUUUAAAGGGAGCGUAGGGGGGUUGUUAAGUCAGUUGUGAAAUUUCGCGGCUCAACCGUAAAAUUGCAAUUGAUACUGGCAGACUUGAGUGUAGUUGAGGUAGGCGGAAUUCGUGGUGUAGCGGUGAAAUGCUUAGAUAUCACGAAGAACUCCGAUUGCGAAGGCAGCCUACUAAACUACCACUGACGUUGAGGCACGAAAGUGUGGGUAGCAAACAGGAUUAGAUACCCCGGUAGUC